CUUUCCUUGAUGACGACUGGCGCACGGGUGAGUAACGCGUAUCCAACCUUCCCAUAACUACGGGAUAACCCGUUGAAAGACGGCCUAAUACCGUAUGACAUCGUUUGCUGACAUCAAAUAACGAUUAAAGGUUUAGCGGUUAUGGAUGGGGAUGCGUCUGAUUAGCUUGUUGGCGGGGUAACGGCCCACCAAGGCAACGAUCAGUAGGGGUUCUGAGAGGAAGGUCCCCCACAUUGGAACUGAGACACGGUCCAAACUCCUACGGGAGGCAGCAGUC
rnacentral:rRNA from 1 species